rnacentral:lncRNA from 1 species
AUUAGGAUAUCUGAGAGAAGAAAUUUAAGGAACAGCAAGUUCAACGAAUGGAAAUGGCUCCUAGGCAGAGCUGGGAGUCUGAAGAAAAGCAAGGGCAAUAAAUUUCUCUCCGGCCUGAUGCUUUUGAGUUCAGAGGCAAGGAAAAGAUUUGUCCCAGAUGUUCGGCAAAGGUUCAGGAGCCCUGUCUCCUGUCAUUCUUCAGGUGCCAGAUUUCAUCCUGUUCUCAGUAGGAGGAAAGGGGAAAAAGCCGGACUGAAGUGAAGAUGCAAAGAAGGGGGAGCGGAUCCAAGUGUCCCUAGGCCUGUCAGUACCAGGUGAUGAUGACAUGUGGCCUUCUGCAGGCAAGCCCAGCUUCAGGAAACCCACAUGGGCAAACACCCAAACUCCCCCAAGUUGACCAACUUCAGCUCAAUUAAUCGCAUUAUAAGAGGAUUCCAGUGGCCUUGAAUCCACGGAUGCGUUUGUAGGAAGGAGUUCUGAAAUCUCCACAUGUCCCUCCUACAGCCGACUCAAACCCGAUGGACAGUUUGGGGGUGCCUUCCCCGGAUACUCACAUCUCCCUUAUGCAACUCCGGCGCCGCGAUCUUCACGGGCUCUUUCCUCUUCUUUGGCUUGGGAAGCCCCAGCGGGGGACCGGCACCGCCAAUUGGAGGGGGCAGAUUGAGGCCAGGGCCUCGGGGCGAGGGCAA